UCAUGAAUUUAGUUUGUUCACCGUUCACAGAUUUAAUCAUUAUUCUUCAUUACCUUACGGUCAAACCAUACACGGUGUGUAGGUUUUACCCAUUUAAUAUUCGCUUUCACUCAACCCUUACGUCGACUAAAGUGUUUAACGCUUACAUUCAUUUUAACAUUCUCUAUCCGACUCACACUCAGACUUUUAUUAAUCUUAUUACCGUUCAUUAUGGCUUUCUUGAUAAUUCAUAUCUUACUUACUACCUUCGUCAACGUUUAAGUCAUACAACUAAUGUAUACUUAUAACGUUUGCACGACGCAAAUACGAUUCACGAUAAUCGUUUACGUAUUCUGCGUUACAUUGUUCAUUUCUUAAUCUCUCAUUCAAACUUUACCUAAGGUUUUAAUCGCUCUCCUUCAUGAUCUAUUACAUGAACACUACAUUCAUCAUCCUUUCUUAAUGUCGAAGCUAUACGGUUCAUGGUAUGCUAAUUCCGACUGUUCAUCGCAUCUACAUUAUGUUUACAUUCUUUGUCUUUUAAUCCCAUUUAAUCCUUCUAUUCAACCUUUACUAAAGGUUUAAUUCACUUGAUUAAGUGUUACAUUAUGUGAACUAUAUGUUCAUUAUCUUUCC
rnacentral:lncRNA from 1 species